rnacentral:rRNA from 1 species
AGCAGCCGCGGUAAUUCCAGCUCCAAUAGCGUAUAUUAAAGUUGCUGCAGUUAAAAAGCUCGUAGUUGAAUUUCGGGACCAAUAUUUCGGUCGUGCCUCGGUACGUACUGGCAUCGUUGGUUUCUCCCUUCUGACGAACCAUGAUGUCAUUUAUUUGGUGUCGUGGGGAAUCAGGACUGUUACUUUGAAAAAUUAGAGUGUUUAAAGCAGGCUCACGCUUGAAUACAUUAGCAUGGAAUAAUGAAAUAGGACGUUUGAUUCUAUUUUGUUGGUUUCUAGGAUCGACGUAAUGAUUAAUAGGGAUAGUUGGGGGCAUUAGUAUUCAAUUGUCAGAGGUGAAAUUCUUGGAUUUAUUGAAGACUAACUACUGCGAAAGCAUUUGCCAAGGAUGUUUUCAUUAAUCAAGAACGAAAGUUAGGGGAUCGAAGACGAUCAGAUACCGUCGUAGUCUUAACCAUAAACUAUGCCGACUAGGGGAUCGGAUGAUGUUAAUUUUUAAUGACUCA